AGAAUUUUUGGACAAAAAAAAAAGAAUAAACAAAAUGUUAAAAAUUUCUAUGAUCUGAAUACCAAAACUGGUCAAAAUGCUAAGAGCACUUCUGUGCAAUAGCAAGGGGUGGGGGGGAAAUUUCAAUUAAAAAUCCAUUAACAGUGAAAACUCUGUUAAUAAUUGAAAAAUCUCAGACGGAUGCUGCUGCUGCUGCUACUGCCGACGAUGAUGAUGAUGAUGAUGAUGAAGUUGUUGAAGGAUGAUUUCAAAAAUGAAAUGAAAACCUUGCGAUUGUUUGAUGAGUGCUUUUUACAAUUCAUUGGAAGAGGGCGGCUUGUGUUCACUGGACCAUAAACGGCGGCGAUAAUGAUUUAUUUGUGGGAAAUUAACAGAUGUUGGCAUAAAUUAAGGCAUUAUUCAACAAAUGAUGGACUCUGGAGUGGCAAAAACUUUGCCCUGACUGACGGAUGGACCCCUUCUAUGCGGCACUUAUGCUGGGCUUUCUUCUUGUGAAACUUAUGUCAAUAUAAUUGUUUUUGUUGUUAUACUUCUUUCUCUUUUUUAGCUUUUUAAAUUAUGCACCCUAAGUCACAAUGUGUUAUGUAAUGUCAAAAAAAAGGAGUCCUGUUACAAAGAA
rnacentral:sRNA from 1 species